rnacentral:lncRNA from 1 species
GCCGGCACCGCCCGCGGGCCAGCAGGGUGCGUUGCGCCGCGCGGUGUCUGAGGCGGCGGCUCCGCUCCGCGCCCGCCGCGCCCGCUCCCGCCGGUACCGGAGAUUUGUCCUUUCCACCCUGCAUUGAGUGCCAGAGGAGCUGGGGACACCUGCCCAGGAGCAGUCGAGGAAUCCAGAAAAAAAAAUCAAGGAAUCCACCCAGAGAACGAGGCUGCUCUGCAGUAGGAAGGAUUCUGCUGUGCUGGGGCCCGGAGCCGAUGGCAGA